CCCUUAGAUGUUUUGGGCCGCACGCGCGCUACACUGAUGCAUUCAACGAGCCUAUCCUUGACCGACAGGUCCGGGUAAUCUUUGAAUCUGCAUCGUGACGGGGAUAGAUUAUUGCAAUUAUUAAUCUUCAACGAGGAAUGCCUAGUAGGCGCAAGUCAUCAGCUUGCGUCGAUUACGUCCCUGCCCUUUGUACACACCGCCCGUCGCUCCUACCGAUUGGGUGUGCUGGUGAAAUGUUCGGAUCGGCCGUUUGUCGCGGUUUCCGCGUCAUGUGGCUGAGAAGUUCAUUAAACCCUCCCACCUAGAGGAAGGAGAAGUCGUAACA
rnacentral:rRNA from 1 species